ACGAACGCUGGCGGCGUGCUUAACACAUGCCAGUCGAACGGAAAGGCCCUGCUUUUGUGGGGUGCUCGAGUGGCGAACGGGUGAGUAACACGUGAGUAACCUGCCCUUGACUUUGGGAUAACUUCAGGAAACUGGGGCUAAUACCGGAUAGGAGCUCCUGCUGCAUGGUGGGGGUUGGAAAGUUUCGGCGGUUGGGGAUGGACUCGCGGCUUAUCAGCUUGUUGGUGGGGUAGUGGCUUACCAAGGCUUUGACGGGUAGCCGGCCUGAGAGGGUGACCGGCCACAUUGGGACUGAGAUACGGCUCAGACUCCUACGGGAGGCAGCAGUGGGGAAUAUUGCACAAUGGGCGGAAGCCUGAUGCAGCAACGCCGCGUGCGGGAUGACGGCCUUCGGGUUGUAAACCGCUUUCGCCUGUGACGAAGCGUGAGUGACGGUAAUGGGUAAAGAAGCACCGGCUAACUACGUG
rnacentral:rRNA from 1 species